rnacentral:lncRNA from 1 species
AAAAAGUGGAAUCCUGGCUUUGUCGUUUGUGAAAGAAAAGGGACAACGUUGGCUUCAGGAGAGGACGAUGCAAAUUUGGGUGGCAGGCUCGGUUUUGGAUUGACAGAGGCAUAGAGAAAACGGUUACUAAUAAAGGCAUGGUUGGGAGGAAGGAUCAGGGGAUGGGACAAAGGAGAGGGCACACACGACUCUCCCAAAAAAAAAAAAAAAAGGGGAAUCUCCUGAUAAAACAGAAUUCCAUCACCUCUCUCCUGGACUCACCAAUAUCAUUCUCACCUUCUCACCAUUCCUACCUCUCCACUUCUACAUCCUCAUCACACACAACACAGAACCCUAUUCUCUUACCCAACUUUAUCUUCGAAACCCAACAUCAAGAGAUGAUCUCAUCAUUCUUUGUGUAAAACAAAACCAUCAUGCAAAAACAACCAUAGUUUUUCACCAUUUUUCCACCUCCCUCACUCAGAAACAACACCAUCCUCACGCCACCAUUCACUCACAGAUUCUAUCAGAACCCGAAGCCACACCUCAUCACACAACACAGAAAGCAUCCUCCCUUCAUCUCCAUCCUCCCUUGAUCUCCAACAACAUCCAUUAUUGACACAUUCUUCUCUAAUUCCUCCAUUCAAGCAAUAGACCAUCACAGACGUGCAUCCAAUAGAUUAACCUCACACACUCCCCUCC